rnacentral:rRNA from 1 species
GAUGAACGCUGGCGGCAUGCUUAACACAUGCAAGUCUUUCGCUAAUCUGUGCUUGCUCCCUCUUGCCCUGGCGGACGGCGGAGUAGCGCGUAAUGAACUUGCCCCGCCGUCAGGGAUGACAGACGGAAACGACUGCGAACACCUGAUCCAGUUACCGUCACGCAUCUACCUGGCAGUACAAAGAGGUGAUUAAGGAGGGCUUUGCGUCCUAUUAGCUUGUUGGUGAGGUGACGGCGCACCAAGGCGAUGCUAGGUAGCCGGCCUGAGAGGGUGAACGGCCACAAGGGGAAUGAGAUACGGCCGUUACUCAUACGGGAGGCAGCAGUGGAGAAUAGUGGACAAUGGGGGCAAGUCUGAUCCAGCAAUUCUGUGUGCACGAAGAAGGUUUUGGGAGUGUAAAGAGCUUUCUGAAGAGAAGAAGAAAGUGACGGUACCUGCAGAAGAAGCGACGGCUAAAUACGUG